AGUAAGUUAUUGCCAGGGUUUUUAUUUUAUACUUUAAACAUUGAUUUUAUUUUUUAUGUUUUUAGAUGUUCAUGUUUUUGAAUGUUUUAUUUAAAUAAUAUAAAAAAUAAAAUAUAUAUUGACAUGGAUUAAACAAAGAUAUAUAUUAUUCUAUGUUGCAUAAGCAAAUUGGCAAAAUAGAGAUGGAAGAUAAAAAUAUGGCAAAGAAAG
rnacentral:rRNA from 1 species